rnacentral:tRNA from 1 species
GGGGGUAUAGCUCAGCUGGGAGAGCGCUUGAAUGGCAUUCAAGAGGUCAUGGGUUCGAAUCCCCACUAUCUCCA